rnacentral:rRNA from 1 species
UACGUAGGGCGCAAGCGUUGUCCGGAAUUAUUGGGCGUAAAGGGCGCGUAGGCGGUGCGGUAAGUCUGUAGUGAAAUCUCUGGGCUCAACUCAGAGUCUGCUGCAGAAACUGCCGUGCUUGAGUGUGGGAGAGGUGAGUGGAAUUCCCGGUGUAGCGGUGAAAUGCGUAGAUAUCGGAAGGAACACCUGUGGCGAAAGCGGCGCACUGGACCAAAACUGACGCUGAGGCGCGAAAGCUAGGGGAGCAAACAGG